rnacentral:rRNA from 1 species
AUGUGGUUUAAUUCGAUGAUACGCGAGGAACCCUACCUGGCUCAAAUGUAUGUUGACGUAUUCUGAAAGGGAGUACUUCUUCGGACAAUAUACAAGGUGCUGCAUGGUUGUCGUCAGCUCGUGUCGUGAGAUGUUGGGUUAAGUCCGUAACGAGCGCAACCCUUGUCCUUAGUUACCAGCACGUUAUGGUGGGCACUCUAAGGAGACUGCCGGUGACAAACCGGAGGAAGGUGGGGAUGACGUCAAGUCAUCAUGGCCCUUACGGCCUGGGCUACACACGUGCUACAAUGGUCGGUACAAAGGGUUGCCAAGCCGCGAGGUGGAGCUAAUCCCAUAAAACCGAUCGUAGUCCGGAUCGCAGUCUGCAACUCGACUGCGUGAAGUCGGAAUCGCUAGUAAUCGUGAAUCAGAAUGUCACGGUGAAUACGUUCCCGGGCCUU